rnacentral:lncRNA from 1 species
AAACAUUCUUUCAUAAAACCCUUAUUCAAGGUAAAAACAAUACAACUCAUCAAACUCAUUUUUGUGCCUUAGAGCAUCACCCUGAAAACCCUUUUCUCAAAGGUAAAAUCAACCAACACAUAAAUAUUUUCUACUCCAAACUACGGAGCUCUGAUUCCUCAUCCCAAAAUGAGUGAUACAUAGGCACAUGGGCCUCAAUCCUUUGUGAGCACUAUAAUAAUAAAAC